AGAAUCAACGCUGGCGGCGUGCCUAACACAUGCAAGUCGUACGCGAAAGGGGAGCAAUCCCUGAGUAGAGUGGCAAACGGGUGAGUAACACGUGGGUGACCUGCCUCAGAGUGGGGGAUAACGUCUCGAAAGGGACGCUAAUACCGCAUAACGUCCUGCCCUUGGAAGGGUGGAGAUCAAAGCCGGGGAUCGCAAGACCUGGCGCUUGGAGAGGGGCCCGCGUCUGAUUAGCUAGUUGGUAGGGUAAUGGCCUACCAAGGCGACGAUCAGUA
rnacentral:rRNA from 1 species